rnacentral:rRNA from 1 species
GUAGGGGGCAAGCGUUGUCCGGAAUUAUUGGGCGUAAAGCGCGCGCAGGCGGUCUCUUAAGUCCGAUGUGAAAGCCCACGGCUCAACCGUGGAGGGUCAUUGGAAACUGGGGGACUUGAGUGUAGGAGAGGAAAGUGGAAUUCCACGUGUAGCGGUGAAAUGCGUAGAUAUGUGGAGGAACACCAGUGGCGAAGGCGACCUUCUGGCCUACAACUGACGCUGAGGUGCGAAAGCGUGGGGAGCAAACAGGGAUUAGAUACCCUGGUAGUCCACGCCGUAAACGAUGAGUGCUAGGUGUUAGGGGUUUCGAUGCCCCUUAGUGCCGAAGUUAACACAUUAAGCACUCCGCCUGGGGAGUACGACCGCAAGGUUG